CAAAAAAUCGAGAGGAGUGUCGUUGGAGGUUAAAGCCGUCGUGUCGUAGACAAAAGAACCAGUGGUUGUAGUGACAUCGUCGAUGAUGGGAUAAUAGUAAGAACAUUUGUUGCUGUUGUUGUUGUUGUUGUUGUUGUUGGUGUUGUGAUGAUUAAAAUCUUGGAGGAGAAGAUCGUUAACGACCGUGUUUUCGAUCCUUGUUAAGUUUGUGUAAACGUCGUCUUCUUCAACAUUGGUUACGUCUCCUUCUUCUUCUGAUGCCUUUCUUGCUUGUAUAACCUAAAUUAAAAUAAAUGAAUAAAAUUGGGCAUAACAUGUAACACGUUUUGUAGAAUAUUCUUUUUAGUAGCGUGUAACGUACGUAAUUGUUUGAGUAGAGAUCUUGGUAAACCAUGAUGAAGUCACCUAGCUGCAGACCAUGAGCGUUCACAAAAUCGCCUGGAAAUAAUACCCAGCUCGACCCGAUAAUUUUAACAAUUGAUUCCAUUGUUUAUUUUCGGGAUAUAAUUAUAAAAAAAGAAACCAGGAUUGUCGGUAAGGUUACCUGUGUUUUCUAGCACGUACAUUCUGCUAUUGUUGUUUGGCCAGUACCUAAUGAUCACAACAUUAGGCCAAGACUCAAACAUCAAAUUUCUUUUAAAGAUCUCAUUUACUUUAGGUUAGUCUUAAAUGAAAUGAUGCUAUAUUAUUCCAUCAUGGAGACGAAUUGA
rnacentral:lncRNA from 1 species